rnacentral:lncRNA from 10 species
AUUCUCCUGCCUCAGCCUCCCGAGUAGCUGGAACUACAGGCGCCUGCCACCACGCCCAGCUAAUUUUUUUUGUAUUUUUAGUAGAGACGGGGUUUCACCGUGUCAGCCGAGAUGAUCUCUAUCUCCUGACCUCGUGAUCCGCCUGCCUCGGCCUCCCGAAGUGCUGGGAUUACAGGCGUGAGCCACCACGCCCGGCCUACAUCAUGUUGACAUAGCGGCUUUAUUGAUAAAAUACAACACGUGUGUAAAUGCAACAGAUAAGUGGGCGUUUACUCCCCUCCAUGAAGCAGCCCAGAAAGGAAGGACGCAGCUGUGCGCCCUCCUCCUAGCGCAUGGUGCAGACCCCACCAUGAAGAACCAGGAAGGCCAGACGCCUCUGGAUCUGGCAACAGCUGACGAUAUCAGAGCUUUGCUGAUAGAUGCCAUGCCCCCAGAGGCCUUACCUACCUGUUUUAAACCUCAGGCUACUGUAGUGAGUGCCUCUCUGAUCUCACCA